AUAGCAAAUAUAUUUAUUUCGUUUAGGACAUCAAAAAGAAAAACUCCAUGAACAAGAACCAAGAUGGGCACAAAAAACAAAAGCGAAGCAACACGUUUAGAGCUUAUUCAGAUUUCCAUAUAUUAAUUUAAAAAUUCAUUUAUUAAUCGAAGGCAUAGAUCACAGAGCAUAUCAUGUAGUCCCACAGUCACGCAGCUUCAAAUAUAAAAGUGUAUGCUUUGAAAUCACAUAUUUAUGGGGGAGUUCAUUCACUUCAUUUUGAUAAUUUUAUUCUUUGAUUUAUUUAAACACUGGCCACACUAAUGUUGGCAAGUAAUAUUUAUCAAAGCCCUUUGCACCACAGGAAGUGUGUGUGUGUGUGUGUGUGUGUGUGUGUGUGUGUGUGUGUGUGUGUGUGUGUGUGUGUGUGUGUGUGUGUGUGUGUGCGUGUGUUCUGAUAGAUUGGCCACUGAAGCCGUUUUUCCACAAAUACGCCACACACACGACAAGCAAAAACAUGAAGUUAAGAUUUAGCGUAUGUUGAUAUUGAGCCAUCCAUUUCCAUAAUAAAGGGCAGUACAUUCAGUUGACAUAUUACGGAGACUUGAUCAACCAACAUGCUUGUGCUAUGACCAUGAUGAGUGAUGAUGCCUUGUGCCUUUAUACUAGGCCACUGCAUGGCUGUAGCCAAUGAGGCUCUCCGAUACUGCAUCCAACUAUCCAGUUAAGGCCAAUCAUAGGGGAGCUAUAAUAAAUGUGGUUCCACUGGGUAAUAGGCGGAGCUUAUUCCAGUUGGUAUCUCCUGUGGGACCUGGGGUGCAUCCCAAUAAGUGACCUUGCCUCCUCCACUUGUGCUUGUCUCCUCGUCCCGCCUCCUGGCCCCUCCUCCGUGGAGAAAACGAUAAAGUUUCCCAGCUGUCAGCCUCGCCACAACAACUUUUGAGGGACUGUUUUUCAUUCACCAUCCCAAUUGCAAAUGAGAAAAAGACUUUACAAUUGAGCUUUUGCAAGAUAUUGAAAUAUAAUGCUGUUGUCAGUGAUGUCAUCAUGACGAGAAGCAAGUGGAGGAGGCAAGUGGAGGAGGCAAGGUCACAUAUUAAAACGCAAUCCUGGUGAUUCAUGGUGACUGUGUGUUUACAUGCCAAACCAUUUCCUCCUUUCCUUUCCCGUCCCUUGUGGCCUUGUGACAUCAAUGAUUGAUCAUCAUAGUAUUAUUCAAUAGAUCCUGCAAAAUUGCAAUUCAAUUAUCUCCUUUGCCACAUGCCAUAUUAUGCCAUCAGGAUGAUGACUGGGGAAAAAAAAUGCUCAAAAAGUUGUUUUGCCUUGGAAGACAAAGAGCGGGCAAACUUUAGGCGGGGCGACAUCCAAAGGAAAGAGACCAGAAGCAAGAGGAAAGGAUGGGAGGAUGGAGGUUGACUUGUACCGAGGACCAUAUCUUGGCUGCCUGUCAUCUUUACUACACUUGGCAGUUUUGAUUGCAGCUUGGCACCGGCAAGACAGGUGACUGUGCAGGGGACUCUUAGGGCCUCCGCACAUAGGCUCCGACAGCACUGCGGAGCACUUUUGCUUCCGACACAAUUCCGACCACCGCAGACAAUUUCACAGAGAAAAUAGAACUUGCCUCUAAUCCCUUGCCGACAUCCGCGAAUGUUUGCGAACAUUGGCGCCGGUGUUGCGGGGUUGUAUUGACAACAAUGGAAUCGAACUUUGUCGGAGCCGAUGUGCGGAGGCCCUUACAAACGUGGUGUCUGCACAACUGUUCACAAUGUACCUUAACAGCCUGGUCUCACAGAACUCCGUGAAAUGAGCACAGAUCUUUGUGGCAGUGCCAUGGAUUUCACCAAAGUUCUGUGUCGGGAUUACGUACGUAAGUGUUUUCUGUGAUGGACUCAUUGAAGUGCUUUCUCUAUGUUCCCACAGCACUAUGUAGAGACUAUCAUUAGAAAACUGACAAACCGGUGGUGUAAUAGCCUACCUUUUCCAGUUGGUUGAUAACUUAGAUUCUGUGUCUAAAUUGCUAUAGCAAUUUAAUUUGUGCCUAGACCAAAACCCUAACCCUAACUUGUCAGUAAAGAAAUGCUUUUUAGAAAUGCCUUUUCCACUUGGUUGAUAGGUUACAAGCCGUGCCGAGAACAAAACAAAACAAUCCCAAACCCUAACCUGUCAGUAAGAUU